AACGAACGCUAGCGGCGCGUUUUAAGCAUGCAAGUCGAACGGGGAUAUUAGGAGCAAUUCUGGUAUUCCAGUGGCAAACGGGUGAGUAACACGUGGAUAAUCUGCCCUCAAGACCUGGAUAGCCCGCAGAAAUGCGGAUUAAUACGGGAUGUGGUGCCUGAUCAUGAGGAUUGGGCCAUUAAAGGUGGGGACCGCAAGGCCUGCCGCUUGGGGAGGAGUCCGCGGCCCAUUAGCUAGUUGGUGGGGUAAAGGCCUACCAAGGCGACGAUGGGUAGCCGGCCUGAGAGGGUGACCGGCCACAUUGGGACUGAGACACGGCCCAGACUCCUACGGGAGGCAGCAGCUAAGAAUCUUCCGCAAUGGGCGAAAGCCUGACGGAGCGACGCCGCGUGGAUGAUGAAGGUCUUCGGAUUGUAAAGUCAUUUCGGGAGGAAGAUAAGCGUACUCUAACAUAGUGCGUGAUGACGACCCUUCAGAGAAGCUCCGGCUAACUACGUGCC
rnacentral:rRNA from 1 species